AUGGAGGACAAGGUGGAUGAGUACUUGUAUCUUGUAGGUCGAGAACAUGAUAUAGGUUGUUGUUUUCUCAUGAAGAAAGGGCUCAAAAAGCCAAGACCACUCCUUUGUUUGAAUCAGAUAGCUCUAAGAGUGAAGGAAAUGGAGAAAGACCUUUCACACCUGUCACAGUCAAAAAACCAUUGGGUUCCCAUGAUAAAUAAUGGGGAUUCUAGCGACCUCAGUUACAUUGUCAAGAGAUCACAAGAGCUAGCAAAAAUUUCAUGCUCACUUGAUGAUGAAGAUCUAGUGGGGGUGGAUAAAAACAGAGAAAAACUCGAGCAUUGGUUGGGGGGGGGGGGUGAUGAUCAGGAAUGCUCUAUGAUAGCUCUGCUCGGAAUGGGAGGUCUUGGUAAAACUGCUUUAGCUGCAAAUGUCUACAAGAAGGAGAGGGAGAAAUUCCAGUGCUAUGCAUAG
rnacentral:rRNA from 1 species